rnacentral:misc_RNA from 1 species
GUAUUGAUUGCGUGUGACCGCAAAGAUAACAUUCUACACUGCAUCAAUGUUUGUGUGAAAACGCAAGCCCCCCUCCGAACAAGCCGAAAGGGGGACCCACGCGGUGGUGCACAUAGGGGUGAGAUGGAUGGUGUGUGAGAGCACUCGGGCGUGCACGACAAAAAGUCAGCGACAGCCCUUGCGCCUCGGUUAUGCGAUAAUGAUCCUUCCGCAGGUUCACCUACGGAAA